AUUGAACGCUGGCGGCAUGCUUUACACAUGCAAGUCGAACGGUAACAGGGUGCUUGCACCGCUGACGAGUGGCGAACGGGUGAGUAAUGCGUCGGAACGUGCCGAGUAAUGGGGGAUAACGCAUCGAAAGGUGUGCUAAUACCGCAUACGCUCUGAGGAGGAAAGCUGGGGAUCGAAAGACUUGGCGUUAUUCGAGCGGCCGACGUCUGAUUAGCUAGUUGGUGAGGUAAAGGCUCACCAAGGCGACGAUCAGUAGCGGGUCUGAGAGGAUGAUCCGCCACACUGGGACUGAGACACGGCCCAGACUCCUACGGGAGGCAGCAGUGGGGAAUUUUGGACAAUGGGGGCAACCCUGAUCCAGCCAUGCCGCGUGUCUGAAGAAGGCCUGGUUGUAAGGUACGUUUAG
rnacentral:rRNA from 1 species